rnacentral:lncRNA from 1 species
AACUCCAGGAGGAUAUGUCGAAACUGGAACGCGAGUUCUCUGAAAUCGUCCAGCCGCCACCUGAAUACUCGAAAAGAGUGGAGGGUAUUGCCGAAUCAGCAUUUGCGCAGGAGUACCAAAGAGUUGGGGGAUUAGACAACGUGGAGUCAUUGCGUGAGAAGCUGGAAGAAACAGGAGAGAAGUGGAAGACGAAGAAAGCCCUGAUAGCACCUGUUGUCACGUUAGUUCAGUCGAGUGGCUGGGGAAAGUCGAGGACUACCUGCGAGCUUGCGAAUUUAGGUGUGUUCGUCAUCUACUGCUCAUUCGCUUCAUCUGGCACCGCGUACCCUCCAAGGUCUGCCUUUGCGGACUUCUUCUACACAAACGCCGUCAAAUUGCUCAGCUCGGGUUCUACGCUUUUGUCGCAGAGCAGGUUCAUGCUCUUCUGCAUUGACUACUUUGUGUCAUGCAUCGAGGCUCUUCUGCAUCUGACUUCCGGGGAGGACCCCAUGGAUGCCAAGAAGUUCUUGAACGAUCUCAUGGUUGGGAAGAACUUUUGGGACGUGGUACAGGCGAAGAUGGAGAUAGGAAAUGCAGCCCGGGAGGAGUUUGCUAAUCGCCUUGACGUCGACAUGAAAGAGAAGCCUGGCGAGAAAACCAAUAUCUGGGGCAUCUGGGAAAGUAAGGCGUUUAAGAAGUACAACACGCUUGAAGGUCUACUGUCGAAUGUUCCAGCUCCUGCCAAAGGAAAACUGAAGGUCCUGUUUGUCAUGGAGGAAGCCCGAUGGUUUACUUUGCAUGCUGAUCCGACAACUCUUGCUGCAUUUGUUCCUGCAAGGAGGGCUUCCAGGGUGUUGCCUGAAGAUGGAAGUGUGUC